rnacentral:tRNA from 1 species
GGUUGUGUGGCUCAGCGGUGGAGCACUUGCCUGGCACGUGUGAGGCCCUGGGUUCAAUCCUCAGCACCACAU